AUGGGUCAGCCCGGCCCGUGGCAGGAAGGCAGGGCAGCGGGGACGGCAGUGCCCAGCGGGUGGGGGCGAAGUGGGCAGAGCCGGGGGUGCCCAUGCCCGCCGCCUCACCUGGCACGAAUCUCCACGGUAGUUGGCCGGGCACAUGCACAGCUCCACGUUGCUGGCCGGAGGCCCCCCGCCCACCUCGCCGGCCACCUCGAGCGCCACGCGGCGCAGGGAGACGGCCGAGGAGGUCUGGGAGAAGAGGGCGCGGAUGUGCAGCUGCUCCAGGCCCGCCAGCACCAUCAUGAGCUCCUCGCGGGACACGGCGUUGUGGGUCUCCGUGUGUCGGAAGUUCCCCUGCGGGCACAGCAGCUCGGUGGGACCCCGACCACACACCCAGACCACGGGCACGGCGGCUCGGCAGGCAGCCAAACCAGCCCGCCCCGCGGGGGGAGCCGCCCGGCCGCCCACCCUGCGCAAACGCCAGCUCCGGACGCGGGUACUUCUGAUCUCAGAGAGACGAGCCCUUCCUUAAAUAAGACGCAAAAACCCCAACCACGCAGGAAAAUUGAUAAAUCGGAGCACAGUAAACACCUCAACUUCCAGUCACCGAGACACCUAAGACCCGGUGCGGGAGGAGCCGCUGCUCCCAAGGCGGGCGCGGGAGGCAGCAGGAACAACGACGCACAACCUCCCCAAGCGGGGGAGAAGCCCAGGAGCCGAAAGAACCCGAGCGGGAGGGAGCGCCGGGCCCCGGGCAGCGGGCGGCGGGACGGGAGGAGCCUGCACCCGCGCCCAGGCCCGUCUCCCGUCCUGGGGGCCCCUGGGCCUCCCCCGGGGUCAAGGGACCUGGGCGCCCGGGCCGGCUGCGCUCACCUCCACCAGCUGCAGCUGUCCCUGGUGAACGUGGCCGGGUGCCGGGUACACCGGUUCCAGGAACGUGAUGCUCAUCUGGUUGCCCUGGGAGGUGCGGGGGCAGGUGAGGGCUGCACCUGGGCCGACCCGCUCCUGCCCACUGUGCCCGCCCGCCCAGCCAGCCACGUCCACCCCGUCGGUCACCUGCAGCACCACGUCCGGCCUGCUUUCCCUGGGGAUGAACACAUCUCCGCGCUGGGUCUCCGAGUGCAGCUCAUAGCGGAGGGUUCCGCCAUAGGAUGA
rnacentral:lncRNA from 1 species